rnacentral:rRNA from 1 species
GAUGAACGCUGGCGGCGUGCCUAAUACAUGCAAGUCGAGCGAACAGACGAGGAGCUUGCUCCUCUGACGUUAGCGGCGGACGGGUGAGUAACACGUGGAUAACCUACCUAUAAGACUGGGAUAACUUCGGGAAACCGGAGCUAAUACCGGAUAAUAUAUUGAACCGCAUGUUUCAAUAGUGAAAGUCGGUUUUGCUGUCUCUUAUAGAUGGAUCCGCGCCGCAUUAGCUAGUUGGUAAGUUAACGGCUUACCAAGGCAACGAUGCGUAGCCGACCUGAGAGGGUGAUCGGCCACACUGGAACUGAGACACGGUCCAGACGCCUACGGGAGGAAGCAGUAGGGAAUCUUCCGCAAUGGGCGAAAGCAUGACGGAGCAACGCCGCGUGAGUGAUGAAGGUCUUCGGAUCGUAAAACUCUGUUAUUAGGGAAGAACAAAUGUGUAAGUAACUAUGCACGUAUUGACGGUAACUAAUCAGAAAGCCACGGCUAACUACGUG